UACGGAGGGUGCAAGCAUUAAUCGGAUUCACUGGGCGUAAAGGGCGCGUAGGCGGGAAGGAAAGUUAGAUGUGAAAGCCCGAGGCUCAACUUCGGAAUGGCAUCUAAAACUCCCUUUCUAGAGGAUGGGCGAGAAAAUGGAAUUCCACAUGUAGCGGUGAAAUGCGUAGAUAUGUGGAGGAACACCGGUGGCGAAAGCGAUUUUCUAGCUUAGACCUGACGCUGAGGCGCGAAAGCAAGGGAG
rnacentral:rRNA from 1 species